rnacentral:rRNA from 1 species
UACGUAGGGUGCAAGCGUUGUCCGGAAUUAUUGGGCGUAAAGAGCUCGUAGGCGGUUUGUUGCGUCGGCUGUGAAAUCCCGAGGCUCAACCUCGGGUCUGCAGUCGAUACGAGCAAACUAGAGUGUUGCAGGGGAGACUGGAAUUCCUGGUGUAGCGGUGAAAUGCGCAGAUAUCAGGAGGAACACCGGUGGCGAAGGCGGGUCUCUGGGCAACAACUGACGCUGAGGAGCGGAAGCGUGGGGAGCGAACAGG